rnacentral:rRNA from 1 species
UACGUAGGGCGCGAGCGUUGUCCGGAUUUAUUGGGCGUAAAGAGCGUGUAGGCGGCCUGGUAGGUCUGCUGUGAAAACUCGAGGCUCAACCUCGAGAUGUCGGCGGAAACCAUCUGGCUAGAGUCCGGAAGAGGAGAGUGGAAUUCCUGGUGUAGCGGUGAAAUGCGCAGAUAUCAGGAAGAACACCUAUGGCGAAGGCAGCUCUCUGGGACGGUACUGACGCUGAGACGCGAAAGCGUGGGGAGCGAACAGG